UAUGUAUCUGUGGUUUAAAGAUUGCUUAGUGAUGGAGGUUUGACUGAAUAAUAAUACUUAAUAAUUAUGUUGAUAAUUUUGAGGACGAGAGUCUUAUUCAGUCCCCAUACUGUUGAAACUCCAAUAUAUCGAAUUUGGAGCCCGAUUGUGUCAAAAAUAACAAAUAAAGCGUAUUUACACAAUAAUGCUUCCCCAACAAUUGACCCCAAAGAUUUAUUUCAAGCAAAUCCGAGAAUAUUGAAAACAUACUGGGAUCCCAAAGGACCAUUUAAAAUUAUCCAUGAUUUUAACUAUAUUCGGUAACAUAUUUGC
rnacentral:lncRNA from 1 species